rnacentral:rRNA from 1 species
CGAUGAUCCAGGAGCUUGCUCCCUGUGAUUAGUGGCGAACGGGUGAGUAACACGUGAGUAACCUGCCCCUGACUCUGGGAUAAGCGUUGGAAACGACGUCUAAUACUGGAUAUGAUCACUGGUCGCAUGGCCUGGUGGUGGAAAGAUUUUUUGGUUGGGGAUGGACUCGCGGCCUAUCAGCUUGUUGGUGAGGUAAUGGCUCACCAAGGCGACGACGGGUAGCCGGCCUGAGAGGGUGACCGGCCACACUGGGACUGAGACACGGCCCAGACUCCUACGGGAGGCAGCAGUGGGGAAUAUUGCACAAUGGGCGAAAGCCUGAUGCAGCAACGCCGCGUGAGGGAUGACGGCCUUCGGGUUGUAAACCUCUUUUAGUAGGGAAGAAGCGAAAGUGACGGU